rnacentral:sRNA from 1 species
GUCAGAAACCCCACGCCUUUAGGCGGGGGCUUGUAAAAGCCUAAUCUGACCAGACUCAGGUAGCAAUACCUACGUUAGAGGCAAGCGUUAAAGUUCUUACCUACGGAUGCGUUUAGCCAGUCUGUAGCUCUAAA